rnacentral:rRNA from 1 species
CAUAGGUUAAUGAGGCGAACCGGGGGAACUGAAACAUCUAAGUACCCCGAGGAAAAGAAAUCAACCGAGAUUCCCCCAGUAGCGGCGAGCGAACGGGGAGCAGCCCAGAGCCUGAAUCAGUGUGUGUGUUAGUGGAAGCGUCUGGAAAGGCGCGCGAUACAGGGUGACAGCCCCGUACACAAAAAUGCACAUACUGUGAGCUCGAUGAGUAGGGCGGGACACGUGGUAUCCUGUCUGAAUAUGGGGGGACCAUCCUCCAAGGCUAAAUACUCCUGACUGACCGAUAGUGAACCAGUACCGUGAGGGAAAGGCGAAAAGAACCCCGGCGAGGGGAGUGAAAAAGAACCUGAAACCGUGUACGUACAAGCAGUGGGAGCCUCUUUAUGGGGUGACUGCGUACCUUUUGUAUAAUGGGUCAGCGACUUAUAUUCUGUAGCAAGGUUAACCGAAUAGGGGAGCCGAAGGGAAACCGAGUCUUAACUGGGCGUUAAGUUGCAGGGUAUAGACCCGAAACCCGGUGAUCUAGCCAUGGGCAGGUUGAAGGUUGGGUAACACUAACUGGAGGACCGAACCGACUAAUGUUGAAAAAUUAGCGGAUGACUUGUGGCUGGGGGUGAAAGGCCAAUCAAACCGGGAGAUAGCUGGUUCUCCCCGAAAGCUAUUUAGGUAGCGCCUCGUGAAUUCAUCUCCGGGGGUAGAGCACUGUUUCGGCAAGGGGGUCAUCCCGACUUACCAACCCGAUGCAAACUGCGAAUACCGGAGAAUGUUAUCACGGGAGACACACGGCGGGUGCUAACGUCCGUCGUGAAGAGGGAAACAACCCAGACCGCCAGCUAAGGUCCCAAAGUCAUGGUUAAGUGGGAAACGAUGUGGGAAGGCCCAGACAGCCAGGAUGUUGGCUUAGAAGCAGCCAUCAUUUAAAGAAAGCGUAAUAGCUCACUGGUCGAGUCGGCCUGCGCGGAAGAUGUAACGGGGCUAAACCAUG